rnacentral:rRNA from 1 species
ACGAGGGUGACAGGUGGUGCAUGGUUGUCGUCAGCUCGUGUCGUGAGAUGUUGGGUUAAGUCCCGCAACGAGCGCAACCCUCGACCUUAGUUGCCAGCAUUCAGUUGGGCACUCUAAGGUGACUGCCGGCUAAAAAGUCGGAGGAAGGUGGGGAUGACGUCAAAUCAUCAUGCCCCUUAUGACCUGGGCUACACACGUGCUACAAUGGGCGGUACAAAGGGUCGCGAACCCGCGAGGGGGAGCCAAUCCCAAAAAGCCGCUCUCAGUUCGGAUUGCAGGCUGCAACUCGCCUGCAUGAAGCCGGAAUCGCUAGUAAUCGCGGAUCAGCAUGCCGCGGUGAAUACGUUCCCGGGCCUU